rnacentral:misc_RNA from 1 species
GAAAUGCGAUAAGUAAUGUGAAUUGCAGAAUUCAGUGAAUCAUCGAAUCUUUGAACGCACAUUGCGCCCCCUGGCAUUCCGGGGGGCAUGCCUGUUCGAGCGUCAUUACACCACUCAAGCCUGGCUUGGUAUUGAGCGCCGCGGCCUGCCCGCGCACUCCAAUGUCUCCGGCUGAGCCGUCCGUCUCUAAGCGUUGUGAAUAGCGAUCGCUUGCGAGGCCCGGGCGGUUCGACGCCGUUAAACCCCCCAUUUUCUAUGGUUGACCUCGGAUCAGGUAGGGAUACCCGCUGAACUUAAGC